GACGAACGCUGGCGGCGUGCUUAACACAUGCAAGUCGAACGCGCCUGUCCUCUGGGUUUCUGGGGGGUGGGUGAGUGGCGAACGGGUGAGUAACACGUGAGUAACCUGCCCCCUUCUUCGGGAUAACGGUCUGAAGGGGCUGCUAAUACCGGGUAUUCACUGGUCUCCGCAUGGGGUCUGGUGGAAAGGUUUUUUUCUGGUGGGGGAUGGGCUCGCGGCCUAUCAGCUUGUUGGUGGGGUGAUGGCCCACCAAGGCUUUGACGGGUAGCCGGCCUGAGAGGGUGACCGGUCACAUUGGGACUGAGAUACGGCCCAGACUCCUACGGGAGGCAGCAGUGGGGAAUAUUGCACAAUGGGCGCAAGCCUGAUGCAGCGACGCCGCGUGAGGGAUGGAGGCCUUCGGGUUGUGAACCUCUUUCGCCCGUGGUCAAGCCGCGACGUGGGUCGUGGUGAGGGUAGUGGGUAAAGAAGCGCCGGCUAACUACGUG
rnacentral:rRNA from 1 species